UACGGGGGGGGCAAGCGUUGUUCGGAAUUACUGGGCGUAAAGGGCUCGUAGGUGGCCAACUAAGUCAGACGUGAAAUCCCUCGGCUUAACCGGGGAACUGCGUCUGAUACUGGAUGGCUUGAGUUCGGGAGAGGGAUGCGGAAUUCCAGGUGUAGCGGUGAAAUGCGUAGAUAUCUGGAGGAACACCGGUGGCGAAGGCGGCAUCCUGGGCCGACACUGACACUGAGGAGCGAAAGCCAGGGGAGCAAACGGG
rnacentral:rRNA from 1 species